AUGGGAACGCGAAGAACCUUACCUAGACUUGACAUCUCCUGAAUAGUGUAGAGAUACAUGAAGCCCUUCGGGGCAGGAAGACAGGUGGUGCAUGGUUGUCGUCAGCUCGUGUCGUGAGAUGUUGGGUUAAGUCCCGCAACGAGCGCAACCCUUAUUACUAGUUGCUAACAUUAAGUUGAGCACUCUAGUGAGACUGCCCGGGUUAACCGGGAGGAAGGUGGGGAUGACGUCAAAUCAUCAUGCCCCUUAUGUCUAGGGCUACACACGUGCUACAAUGGUGGGAACAAAGAGAUGCAAGACCGCGAGGUGGAGCUAAACUCAAAACCCCAUCCCAGUUCGGAUUGUAGGCUGAAACUCGCCUACAUGAAGCUGGAGUUGCUAGUAAUCGCGAAUCAGAAUGUCGCGGUGAAUACGUUCCCGGGUCUGUACACACCG
rnacentral:rRNA from 1 species